GCCUGGGUGGCUCAGUCAGUUAAGCAUCUGACUUCAGCUCAGGUCAUGAUCUCAGAGUUCAUGGGUUCGAGCCCCAUGUCAGGCU
rnacentral:tRNA from 1 species